CCAGCCGAACAUUCAGCCCCUCUACUUCCAACCGAACAUUCAGCCCCUCUACUUCCAGCCGAACAUUCAGCCACCUGCAACGCCGUCGACGUCGAACCACCAGCCACCUGCGACGGCGAAGUUCACCACUACCUCCUUGAUCUAUGGCGCCUCGUUCUUGACUGCCAUGGUAAAGUUUCUUCAUUUUGUAGUAGUGCCACCGCCUCUCACUCGCUCACCCUCUCCCCUUCUCUCAGCUGUUCAUCCUCUCCCUCUCCAUGUCUUAUUCUUCUCCUCUCUUGCACGAAUGGUGGGCCUCACAAACGAAGGGUCGAAGGGGUGACUGAUGAACGGCAGAGGUCAAAGGGGGCUCAUGAAUCAAAGGUGGUGGAGGACAGACGGUGGCGAGUCCAACUCAUGGGGUGGCUUAGGAGCAUAUUCGCAUGGUGGCAUGGAUCACAUCAGGGUUCAUCCAAAGUUUCUUCAUUCAAAUGCAACCUGUCAUAAGUGGGCUCUUGGAGCUUUUGCUGAGCUGAUAAUGCAUUGGAUGAGGUCUGCAGUGGUGUCACAUAUGCAAAUAUCGAUAUGCUUACUAAUAAGAAAGAUGGGAGUAGAAUGUUGGUAAUCGAAGGAUAUUCAAAUUAGAGUGGUCAAUCGAGAUGAGAAGAGUAUACAAAUGGCUAAACAGUACCCCAAUUCCCGGCACUUCUUGACUUAUCGACACUCAUUGAGGAUGACGAUGAUGGACCCUUGACGUGAUCAAUGGCACUAUCUAACCGCUACACCAUUGGCAAUUCUUGGAGAUUUAGUCCUUUCAAAUUAUUUACAUAACUACUCCUUCCAAACUUAGCAACUUUCAUUUUCUCAUUCAUGGCAAGUCAAUUCUUAUUUUGGAAAGACUAUUGAUGACGAGGGUGAGUACACAGACAAGAAGAAGAAAUAUGUUGUUAGACAAUGAAUUUAGUGUUUUAUUUUAUUUGUAAUUUUUAUUAGAGCAAAUGAUUCUUUUUUGAGUGGUUAAUUAUUUACUUUGUAAAUCUAGUUAUAUGUAUUUUUAAGGUCAAGAUGAUUAUGUUUAUAGACAAGGCUAUGUAUUUUUUAGUCAAGUAGUAGUGUUAUAUUUGUUCCAAAAUUUGUUUUAUUAGAUUUGUAAAUACUUUGUAUAAGUUUUGUUAUUUUAAUAUAUAAGUUUUUAGAUUUGUAUAUAAA